rnacentral:rRNA from 1 species
GGGUUGUGAGGUUAAGCGACUAAGCGUACACGGUGGAUGCCCUGGCAGUCAGAGGCGAUGAAGGACGUGCUAAUCUGCGAUAAGCGUCGGUAAGGUGAUAUGAACCGUUAUAACCGGCGAUUUCCGAAUGGGGAAACCCAGUGUGAUUCGUCACACUAUCAUUAACUGAAUCCAUAGGUUAAUGAGGCGAACCGGGGGAACUGAAACAUCUAAGUACCCCGAGGAAAAGAAAUCAACCGAGAUUCCCCCAGUAGCGGCGAGCGAACGGGGAGCAGCCCAGAGCCUGAAUCAGUGUGUGUGUUAGUGGAAGCGUCUGGAAAGGCGUGCGAUACAGGGUGACAGCCCCGUACACAAAAAUGCACAUACUGUGAGCUCGAUGAGUAGGGCGGGACACGUGGUAUCCUGUCUGAAUAUGGGGGGACCAUCCUCCAAGGCUAAAUACUCCUGACUGACCGAUAGUGAACCAGUACCGUGAGGGAAAGGCGAAAAGAACCCCGGCGAGGGGAGUGAAAAAGAACCUGAAACCGUGUACGUACAAGCAGUGGGAGCACGCUUAGGCGUGUGACUGCGUACCUUUUGUAUAAUGGGUCAGCGACUUAUAUUCUGUAGCAAGGUUAACCGAAUAGGGGAGCCGAAGGGAAACCGAGUCUUAACUGGGCGUUAAGUUGCAGGGUAUAGACCCGAAACCCGGUGAUCUAGCCAUGGGCAGGUUGAAGGUUGGGUAACACUAACUGGAGGACCGAACCGACUAAUGUUGAAAAAUUAGCGGAUGACUUGUGGCUGGGGGUGAAAGGCCAAUCAAACCGGGAGAUAGCUGGUUCUCCCCGAAAGCUAUUUAGGUAGCGCCUCGUGAAUUCAUCUCCGGGGGUAGAGCACUGUUUCGGCAAGGGGGUCAUCCCGACUUACCAACCCGAUGCAAACUGCGAAUACCGGAGAAUGUUAUUACGGGAGACACACGGCGGGUGCUAACGUCCGUCGUGAAGAGGGAAACAACCCAGACCGCCAGCUAAGGUCCCAAAGUCAUGGUUAAGUGGGAAACGAUGUGGGAAGGCCCAGACAGCCAGGAUGUUGGCUUAGAAGCAGCCAUCAUUUAAAGAAAGCGUAAUAGCUCACUGGUCGAGUCGGCCUGCGCGGAAGAUGUAACGGGGCUAAACCAUGCACCGAAGCUGCGGCAGCGACGCUUAUGCGUUGUUGGGUAGGGGAGCGUUCUGUAAGCCUGUGAAGGUGUGCUGUGAGGUAUGCUGGAGGUAUCAGAAGUGCGAAUGCUGACAUAAGUAACGAUAAAGCGGGUGAAAAGCCCGCUCGCCGGAAGACCAAGGGUUCCUGUCCAACGUUAAUCGGGGCAGGGUGAGUCGACCCCUAAGGCGAGGCCGAAAGGCGUAGUCGAUGGGAAACAGGUUAAUAUUCCUGUACUUGGUGUUACUGCGAAGGGGGGACGGAGAAGGCUAUGUUGGCCGGGCGACGGUUGUCCCGGUU